rnacentral:rRNA from 1 species
GAGUUUGAUCCUGGCUCAGGAUGAACGCUGGCGGCGUGCUUAACACAUGCAAGUCGAACGGGGCCACCAUUUUUGAAGCGAUUAGCUUGCUAAGAGUGGAAAUGUUGGCGGCUUAGUGGCGGACGGGUGAGUAACGCGUGGGUAACCUGCCAUAUACAGGGGGAUAACACUUAGAAAUAGGUGCUAAUACCGCAUAAGCGCACGGAGCUGCAUGGCUCAGUGUGAAAAACUCCGGUGGUAUAAGAUGGACCCGCGUCUGAUUAGCUUGUUGGCGGGGUAACGGCCCACCAAGGCGACGAUCAGUAGCCGGCCUGAGAGGGUGGACGGCCACAUUGGGACUGAGACACGGCCCAAACUCCUACGGGAGGCAGCAGUGGGGAAUAUUGGACAAUGGGGGGAACCCUGAUCCAGCGACGCCGCGUGAGUGAAGAAGUAUCUCGGUAUGUAAAGCUCUAUCAGCAGGGAAGAAAGAAAUGACGGUACCUGACCAAGAAGCCCCGGCUAACUACGUGCCAGCAGCCGCGGUAAUACGUAGGGGGCAAGCGUUAUCCGGAUUUACUGGGUGUAAAGGGAGCGUAGACGGUAAUGCAAGUCUGGAGUGAAGUGCAGGGGCUCAACCCCUGAACUGCUUUGGAAACUGUAUGACUGGAGUGCA